rnacentral:misc_RNA from 1 species
UCCGGUUUAUCACCGGCAGUCUCCUUAGAGUUCCCGACAUGACUCGCUGGCAACUAAGGACGAGGGUUGCGCUCGUUACGGGACUUAACCCAACAUCUCACGACACGAGCUGACGACAGCCAUGCAGCACCUGUCACUCGGUUCCCGAAGGCACUCCUCUAUCUCUAGAGGAUUCCGAGGAUGUCAAGAGUAGGUAAGGUUCUUCGCGUUGCAUCGAAUUAAACCACAUGCUCCACCGCUUGUGCGGGCCCCCGUCAAUUUCUUUGAGUUUUAACCUUGCGGCCGUACUCCCCAGGCGGAGAACUUAACGCGUUAGCUUCGCUACUAAGAAGUAUAAACCUCCUAACAGCCAGUUCUCAUCGUUGACGGCGUGGACUAC